GACAGAAGAAGAAAAAUACCCCGCAAUUUAAAUUAUGCGGUUCACUCCACGACUACAAUCUUGAGCACAAGACCAUGUCACUAUACCAUCCUACCUUUUUCUUCUUCUUCUUAGAUCAGUUCUUUGUAAAACUUUAUCUCUUGUUUAAUCUCAACAGAUGAUAACCUAGAUCCAGUAUGUUUAUUUUUAAUCUAGGGUUUCAAUCAUAAAGAUGACCAAGAGAUUUCUUUGAUUAAUCUAUAGAAGGAUCAAAAUUUAAAAAUAUGUGAGAAGAAAGCAAAUCCAGGAUUUGGUUUUACUUAUUUCGGCUGAUUUGAUUUGGGGAUUUAGGGCAGUUAUUUCAAAUAGAAUUCACCGAUGUAUAGGUUUUCAUAUCGGCAGAUGAUAAUGAUCAAGGAUACCAUUUGUAUCAUCAAUCGUUAAUGUAAUAAAUAAAGUCUGGAUGACUUGCGGAGCAAAAAGAGCAGAAAAGUAGUGAAA